ensembl:lncRNA
GUCUGUCUUCAUAAGUGUGACAGAUUUGAUUAAGCUCUUUGAGAGAGACUGAUGUAAAAAUUCAGACAAAAUCAGACCUUUCUGCCAAUUUACAGUAUCACAUUGACAAUUCAUUCCAGGCUCAUCAAAGUUCAGUAAUGCAUGUGGAAAGAAUAAGUUUCCUGCACAGGAACAAGAAGUUGAUGAACAGGAAUGUAUAUGCUGGUUCCACACAUAAGCCUCAGCACAAAAUUAAAGAUAAAAGAGCAUUGAGAUGGCUAGAUGAUCACUUGGCCCUGGAAAUUUGACGUAUGAAGAGAACACUAGUGUGAAGCCAUACAAACAGUGGGCAAAGCUGACAGAGAGGCUGGGGUGGCAGAACUGAAGUUGGCGGUACUGCUGCCAGGUGCACGGCACACGUGCUGGAAAAGGAAAGCCCGGUAUGCUGGAAAGGAGCAGCUGAGGUGGUAACUGUAGUGCUUUGGACAAGCAGUCAUCUCUCGUUGUGGAGACUGCCGUGGCUUGGCACUGGAAGGAAGGAAGGUCUUGUUGGCACCAGGUGGGGACACCGAGACACAGGGCUGCAGCAUGAUUAGCCCCAUGUUUUUCAGCAAAGCAUGAGGACAGCAUGUGGCUGCACCAGUAGUGAGGACCUUCUGGUCUCUUCUUUGCUACCAUCUUGCAACCCUUCCCAAAGCGUGCUGCAGGCCCAGCUCCAAUGCUUCAUCAAGAUCCAGGAACUCCCAGAGCUGCCCACGGUCAUGUCACACAGGUUAACACAGGCUUUCAUGGCCUUGCUGCAAUGAGCAGGACUGAAGUGGAAAGUGAUGAGCCUGCUGAGGUCGUCUGGAUGCAGUGAUGUGAAGAGGCAGUAGUUUUCCAGGCUGAUAUUCAGUCUGGAGCCGUAGCACUGAUGCUCCAAGACUGUCACUUCUUUGUGAAACUAUGACUGCUAAAAAGAAACAUUUAUUUUCUUCAUUUGCAAGGCUGUGAAAACACACUCACCUUCCUGCGGACGUGUGCGGAGCAGAGGUGUCAGCUCACCCCAUGCAGCCUGAUGUGGACUACGUCAGUGUGGUCACCCACCCCCUGGAUGAGGUAGUCCUGGCUCCUUCGGGUCAGGCCUCGCAGUACAAAGGCUGCAGAGCUGCAGAAAGGGAGAAGACAAGGAGGGCUGCGCCUAGCCUUUAUCUCUUGCAUGCUUUGGCCCCAUGAAGAACUCCAGCAUGUCUGCCUGGUGAACAACGGGUUGAAUGCCUGGUGAUGUCCAGUGAGUCAGGAACAACCCACAUUGAGGUUAGACAUCAACACAGAGCAAGACACCUUCUCCAGCUCUGCAAGAACCGGGAAUUGAGUUGGGGGAAUCUCUCUUUCACCUGUCUGCCAAAAUCCCCUUGUUAAAAUAAGUAUCACCCUACGUCAAAUAUGUCAAAUAAAUGCUUGCCUAUUAAGGCAAGCUUGCAACGCUAUUUAAAACAGAAGUGGCAAAACAUUAAAACUGAAAGUAACAGCAUGCUCCCCUCAAAUCAGCAUUGUUGGCUGUUUGCUUCUGAGCUGUGGGCCCCUGUGCAGCACUGGCUGCAUGGAUUAUCCGGGUGGGAACAGGUGGGAGUUUUAGAGCAACAGGGCCAUGUGUGCUGUGCUAGCACUUGGUAUAGGUAUGGACUGUCUUGAAGGGCUUGGGAAGACAUGUCCAUCCAGCCACUGAGCAUGGAGAAAGAGGAGUGAGAAAGCAUGGGGUUCCCAGGUGACACCAGUUAGCCAGCUUGAGCUGUGAAUACAUGCAGUAACUGGUCUGCUGACAAGGCACAUACCACAUUUCGCUCACAGCACGCUUAUGCAGCAGUUGCAAGUAGCAAACCAGUGUAGCCAAUACUUAGUUGCUCCUUCACAGACAGAAGGAAGGGAAGCUUAAAUUCCUUAAUAAUUUAUCAUAAAUAUUGCACUCUGCCCUUGCACAGUGCAGAGUAAACUUGCUUGUAAUUCAUGCUGGUGUCAGUUCUGUGUCUCAACUUCAUUGUAAACUUACAUUGGAAAUCCUUUCCUUGAACCGAUUCCAGGUUUAUUAUGCAUUAGUAACAGACAUCUACACUAACACUGAGUGAGCUUAUAGUGAUUUGCUAUACCAGAUUUUAGAAACCUGUCAUGAGACCACAAUUUGCUAGUGUUAUCUCAACACCUUGUGCAGAGAUGCAAGGACUGUUUGGUGACAUAUCAUCCUUGACACAUGACACAUAGAGUGCAUGCUUCAAUCAACACGCCGUGCCUCUGGGCAGUGUGGUGCUGCAGCCUCUGCAGGGGAAUGCCACUGCCUGUGAAACCUCCUCCCUUGCAACUAGUGGUGAUGGCAGUGCUGUGGGGACUGCAGGAAGCAAGGAACCUAACCUAAAUACCCCAAAAUACAAAAAGUUUUCUGUGAGAUUGUUGAUGCUUUAUUGUUUGCAGACACGUCUAAGCAAACCAGAAUGUGCUGCUGUUUUAAUUAUUUAUUCUGCAAGUGGUUUGAGGAAUACUAAUCGUAGUAGCUCUACUGGGACUAGGACCAGGAUAAGCUCAUUAUAAUUUGCUUCAUUUCAUCUUAAUUCUGCAGUAACUCACCCUGUUUACUUGAAUUCUGGUUGUCCUGAUUACCUUGAGCGUGGUAUGCCCAUGUCGUACUUCAAAAUAAGCGGAGGUGAUGAGCAAAUACCAACACAGUGAUGUUACAAUCCCUAAAAUUAUGUUAGAUGUGAAAAAAAAAACCCAACAAAAAAGAUAGAUUAUUAUUAUUUGUCUCUAAGUAGUGGGGUCAGGACGUGUUUUCCUAAGCAGUAGCUCAACCUGGUUUUGCUGCAAGCAGAAUCUGGCCUUCGCUGUCCAUUGGCAAAGAAACGUUUCAUCUCUGCCCCACAUUGACAUCUGUCUUGCAGGAGUAAGGAGACAUUAACAUACUGGUCAUCAGCUGAGCAGAAGAUACUGAUGGAGAUGCUUCUUUAUGCAAGCAAGACGGCAAGCUCCCUUCCAUUCUAUUGAGAAGAUAAUGCAUGAUAGCGAUGUGAAUGUGUUGCUGUCAUGAGCUAAGUGCUGACUUUUGUCCAUACCAAUGGUAACGAAGGGUUACAGAAAUGCUGAAACUCAAAAAUAUAAACACAAAUAUCAGACCUCCAGCCCUCCCAUAGGGCAUUUCUAAUUGUCAAGUGAAGGGAUGGGAAUUGCUGUGAUAAAUGUCAUGUAUCUUAUGGGUUGUUACACAACAGUGGGGGGGGAAGAGGGAAGGUGCAGAAAGGAGAAAGCUGGAACUACUCAUACGUACUUGGUAAAAAUAACAUGCCGUUUGAUUAGAAGUGUGUUUUAAACAUAUUAUUUGAAUAUGUAAGGAGUUAUGUUGGUCCUGAAAGUACCUGAUGACUAUCAUGCUGCUACGAAGGCAUUGUACCCACCAAUGCUUGGCCUCUGUGACAUUACCAUUGGGUUGAAUGACAAGCAGGGCAAGACCAGGUGGGCAGGAUGGGACUAACCAUGCUCAGGGAGCUGUAACUCCACAGAAUGAUCAUGCAGUGUUCUUACAUAUGAUGGAUGUGGUAAAUGACAGCAGUUUUGUUAACACUGCGCUCUACUGCAUAUCUGGCACAAGAGUUAACAUGGGCUAGCACCAAAAUUUGCAGUGUCAUGGGUGGUGAGUAUGCACCCUUCAAAGCCUCCUGUACUGUGGGAACUUUCAAUGGUUUAACCUAAAACAAGUGUCAUGCUGAGAAAAACUCUGUGCAAGCACUUGGUUUCAGUUUAAACACCAUUUAUUUUGAAGUCACCUCUGGGGGUGGAAAGGUGCUUUUUGUUGUUUGGUUUUUUUGUUGUUGUUGUUGUUUUUAACCAAAAUGAGUGAAACCAAAUGAAAGGUGUCUGCCUACAAGCAAUGCACUGGAGUAAUUAUGGUCCCUGCACUGACACUCAAGCAAAUAUUUCUGAGGCAGUUUCUGAAUUUUGCAAACCAUCUGUCUGCCUUUACCUCUGCCAGCACCACAGAGAUGGGGCACCUCAGCCUAAGAGCAGUCAGGGCAGCUAUGGGUGCUGCUGCACCAAAUCUCCAUAGCCAGUCAUUGGGCCACUUGUGAGUGUAGAAACAGCAUUUUCUGUCCAUCUGUCCAUGUGGUCGGAGGUGAGUCCUAGACAUACUGUGACAUAACAGCAUGUUCUUCCUCUAGGGCAAGAGCUGCAGCUGAAUUCAUCAGUAGGAAUGGGAUGUGAGGGACUUCCCCAGGUGGACUGCACUGGGGAUUCACUUCCAAGUGGGAUACCACAUUGGGUGCUAACGAUGCCAUUGACACCUACUCCCGCUCUAACCUGAUCACCUCUGGUCGGGUCCAGCUGGCCCUUUGAAGAUAUCUCCUCACCCAGUGUUAACCCCAGCUUGUUUUUCUCCCUGCUUCUUGGUUCACCAGUGGUGGCACAAGCCAGAGCUCCUGGCUGGGUCUCUGCAGGGCACACUGGUUUGAGGAGGAACAGAAGAGAGCUCUGGGACAUCUGGUACUUUAGACUGAGGAAGAGCACUCAUUUGGAUGGAGGGUUUGGUGCUGUAAAGCAGGUGAACUGGCUAAGCUUCUUCUGGAAGGUGCUGGGCUGCCAGGAGCUCCCCAGAGCAGGGGCAAGAAAGAUGUCCCUCAGCGGGUACUGGGGUAUCAUCAUGCAAACAGCUGGCUAGGUGAGUUAGAGAAGGUAUCUCAUCUCUUACCUAUUUCUCACUGGAAGCAGAAAGUGCAGAAGCCAAGUCUGUAAUUUCCCAGAUGGAUAUGUCUUCUAUAGGACCUCUUUCUUCCAUGAAAAGGAGGAGAUGCCUCCAGAUAUCCUCUGACACAUACAACUACUUUGUACCAGACAAAGUAAUUGGCUGGAGUCAACCUGGGCCCUCAGUAAAACAAGUGUGGGUUCGGGAAGUCAAAAGAGUUUGAGAGCUCCUGCCUCUGUCCUAUGGCAUUCCUGUGGUGGAAAAUCCCACAGUGAGGGGAGCUGUGGGCAGGAAAGUGGAGCACAGCCAUCCUGCUGCUUUCUGAAGGCAUCUAUCAGGUUGUGCAGGCAUAGCCAGGUCUCUAGCAUCCCUGUCUCUGCUCUUAGGUGUCAAUUUCUAUCAGACACUGGAAAUCCUGAGUAUAUUUCCAAGAAGAUGGGCAGAGUCAUUUGAUUGACCAUUGCGCUGGUCACACAGAAGAGAAGAAUGACCAUUCUUGCUCACAGGCUUAAAACCCACCUGCAUUCAUAUCUCCUCUUCGCGCUGCAAACAGCAAAGCAGAGAUGGUAACAGCCACUAAAGGAGGAAGGGCCAUGUACAGAGAUGUUCACUUACCUCCAAAGGUCUUUACUCUCUUGGUCAAAGGCCCUGACUGCCUAUCUUCAGUUUGGGUAUCUUUAAAUUUAAUCUGUCCAUAUUCCUUUUGCAUAGCUCUUGGAUGAAAAGGUUUGGCUCUGUAAAACAAUAUUGCCAAGCUGCUACAUGAGGAAUGAGCCACACAUAGAAGGUAUGUAAGUACGUGCUUGUGAAAAAGCCAACAAACUCUUCCCUCGUAUGUGAUGAUGCCUUUUCCAUGUCUAGUGUUGUCUUAGCUUCAUUUUCAUUACUUCACACAUAAAAACAGAAGUUAAAGGAUGUGCAAAAUGUCACACAGUGAAGUAAAAUUAUUGGCUGAUCUAAGAACUUCCACCCCAACCAGAAGUCUUAUCUUCCAAGCUUUGAAUCUGUGUCAGAACCAAUUAUUUUAAUGUAGAUUUUUUAAAUAUAUAUGGUAGCAUCUUAAGGCUUUGUCAAUAUAUUUAAAGUUGUUCUACAAUAUAUACAGUAAUUGCUUUUCUAUGAGGACCGAGAUACAUGAAAGAUUCAAAAGAUAGAGGACUUUUCAUUGAUGGCAACUUUUAAAAAAAUAAAAGUUGGAUUAUUACAUGAAGGAGAUAAAAGGCCAUGAAAUAGAUAUUAAGGCCAUGAAGUAGAUAUUUUUACUCUAGCAUAAGAGAGGAUUUUUAGCUUCUAAAUAUGCAGAGACACUAUAUCAACUAUCACAAAUGUGUGCCGGUGAUGCAUCCAACAACACUUAAUUAUCAGUUCUACAGGAAAAUUAGGUGAGAAAAUUACUUGUCUUUUUGUAUUUAUUUUAGUUAUAAAAACCCAAAGAUGAUGACAAUUCUCUCACUACAGCAUGUUAGACAUAGAUGGCUUGCCUGUCUUAUUUUUCCCCCUUGGUGAUGCAGAUUGAUAAUUCCUGCAGUGGGCUCAGUUUAAUUUGUUACUUUUUACAAAUGCAUAUUGUGCAGUUUUAAAGACAGCUGUCUUCAAAAUGGGUAGACAUUAAGCAGUUUCAUUUUUUGUGGUGUCUUAGAUCAGAAAUGUUUGAGAUGGAAGAAACUGAUCUGGUCCACUGCCUCGACCUUCUUUGCAAUGUGAGAUUCAUACUUAUGGGUCGGUAUUUGUAUGUCCUUCUUGCUUUCCUCCUCUAGAAAUUAAUUAGGGCAUUAAACAAUAUCAAAACAUGAAAAUGUUUGCAGAUGGACAGAUAGGAGCUAAAAGAUACUGAAAGUUCUUGUGCUACCAAACACAGCACAGGGAACAACUGAAGUAGCCACAGCUGAUGAAAGCAAUGUUUUUCAAAUGCUGUCCUAUGCUCAAAUAAGGUAUCUGAGAGAGCAACAACAGCUACCAUGGUGUGUGUCUCAUUUCCCUCACCCUGGGGCAUCCCGGGCAUAGCAAUGCUGCAUGGAGAAGAAAAGAAAAAAAAAGAGAGAGAGAGAGAAGGAAGGCUGAGAAGUAAGAAGAAAAAUCAGUCUUUGAAUGUGAAGAUAAAAAAUAAGCCACCAGGAACUAAACUGGUUUUAAUUUUGUCUCUGAUACUGUAGGGUUCUGGCAUGCAUCUGUCAACAUGGCUGACGUAGCUACACAGGAAUAUGGUGGGAAAAGUCUUGGCUAGAAAAAUCUUACUGCACACAUAUGAUGAAAGAGAAGGGAAAGGCAAUGUUGGAAGAGAACGACUUGUUCCCAGCAGUCAGCAAAGUCUCCAGCCAUAUUACAGCGGUGGCAGCUGCCUCUUCCCCAGUGGUAAGGGGGAGUGCCCCUGAGAGCAUGGCAUUACAAGGAGAACAGAUCUCAUGUGAUGUCCUUUGGAGGGCAGAUUUGGUUGUCCCUCAUGUAAAAUACAAACAGCAAUGGAUAAGCAAGAGCAUGGCGUUCACAGGGAGGAAGCUGAAGUAGUUGGUAUAGCAAUUAGAAGGAACAUGUUAAAUUGCUCUUGAUUUCCAUCAGGUGCCAACCCAUUAAGAGAAUAUCUGGUGAAUUAAGACUGGAAAAGGUGAGAAAGAGGGAGAGGGGAAAAUCUGGCUGGGGAGGAAGCAGAAGGAAACCAAGCAUAGCCUGCCUCAGCGGUCUCCUUCCCAUCAGUCUUCCAGGCAGUUGGGCAGGCUUGCUCAUGUGCCAGGCUGCUAUUCCUCGUGGGGACACCUGGUAUCCCACCCAGCCGUAGGGUCAUUUCCAGCUAGACUCCUUCCCCUGGCUCAGGGACAUACUGGGCCACGUGCAACACACUGAGACUUUAGUAAGUGCUCUGUGUAGCACUGGUGCAGGUGGGCAAAGCAAUGGCAUGGGAACACCAGUGCACACAUCUGCUUCUGCUAUAGCAGUGAGCUGCUGCUUCCCGUGCCACAUCCCAGUAUGUGGAGAAGACUGUGGAAGGAAAGGGAUUGGUGCAUAGUGAGCAGCCAGGAAAGGCAGGUGUGAGAUACAGCAGGUAACUUCAGGUGCAGAUACGUUCAUUUUUUUUUUUUUUUCUUGAUAAUUUGAUAAUAAACAUGCGAGCUGGAUUUGGUAUUGCCACUAGUGCUGGCACAUCCAGCCAAUUUCUGUAUUUUCUAGGAGUGUGCAUGCCAUUACAGCCAAGGAAAUCGUGCUCUCCUGGGACUCGGAUUGAGCAGUGUCUAAUAAAAGGCCUGAUGAAGAGAAACUUCUGCAAGAUUUAUUUUCCCCUGGGAAAUUAACCAUUGUAUACCACAGCACACAUGGCAUAUGGCUGCCUGUCCAUGGGAGCACUGCAUCCAACUUCUGAUUCAGCAAAAUACUGGAAGUGGUGUUGUGAUAAAUAGGGCUUAAACAGAGGUAUGAAGUUUGACAUGGCCUUAACAGGCCAUUUCGGCAUUGAUAAAUGUAAAACACAAAGAUUUAUAUUGUGACUCAGAGCUGGAUUUUUCUCAUACAAGCAAUGGAUUAAAAGUUAUCAGUUACCGAGUCUGAUUGCCAGACUAAUUCAAUUUAUUUUAUGUGUAUAUUAUGCUAUCUCUUCGCCUUCUGAAUGUUAUGUGAAAAUAAGAAAAGGUAGGCAUAGAAUAGAAUCACAGAAUGGGUUGGGGACCUUGAAGUCCACCUGGUUCCAACCCCAUUGCUAUGGACAGCGUUGCCUCCCACUUCAUCAUGCUUAGGGCCCCAUCCAGCCUGGCCUUGAACUCAUCCAGGGAUGGAACAUCCAUAGCUUCUCAGAGCAACCUGUUGCAGUACCUCACCACUCUUAGAGUAAACAAUUUCUCCCUAACAUCUAACCCAAAUCUCUCCUCUUUCAUUAUAAACCCAUUUCCCCUUGUCCUAUCGUUAUCGGACCAUGUAAAAAAUUGGUCCCGCUCCUGAUUAUAAGUUCCCGUCGAGUAAUGAAAGGCUGCAAUGAGGUCUCCCCAAAGCCUUCUCUUCUCCAGUUUGAAUAAGUCCAAUUCCCUCAGCCUGUCUUCACAGGAGAGGUGCUCCAGCUCUCUGAUCAUCUCAGUGGCCCUCCUCUGGACCUGUUCCAACAGCUCCAUGCCUUUCUGUGCGGAGGGCCCCAGGUCUGGAUGCAGUACUGCAGAUGGGACCUCACAAGGGCUGAGCAGAGAGAGACAAUCACCUCUCUCACCCUGCUGGCCACCCCUCUUUUGAUGAAGCCCAGGAUACUGUUGGCUUUCUGGGCUAAAAGCACACAUUGCUGGCACAUUCCCAGCUUUUCAUCACUGGGAACCCAAGGUCCUUCUCCCAAUCUGCAUUCAUAUCUGGGAUUGUCCUGAUCCAAGUGCAGCACCAUGUACUUGGCCUUGUAGUACAUCAUAAAAUAACAUAUAAUCCACAUAGUGCAUAGAGUAUUCUGUCUAUUUUAUUUAUUAUUGCUGUUAUUACUAUAUUCUGCUCUGGCCACUGGAGACAAUAGGCAUAUAUUUUGCAGUGGACAGUUAAGGGUUGUCAAAUAAUUGGAUGGACUUUUUUCAUGUCUAAUCAUUUACAGAUUUGUUUAUACUCUAAUGUUCAAGUGUUCCUGUCCUGAUAUAUCUUGUCUAGGAAAGAAAGCACUCACACCAGCCACCACCACGUAAGUGUAAGUUCUUUUCUCAAGUUAAUGAUAUGUUGUAGCAGAAAUCCUAGAGCAAGAUUUAAACUUCUACUAAACAAGUCCCCUUGGUAGUUUUACAUGAUUUGCAAAAAUCAUUUAAAACUGAACAAAACAAGCCUGAAGUGAUACAUCAUUUUUCUAAAUACUGUUGUUUCUAGAAUGCAGGUGUUCUGUUGGGUGUUGUUCUCAGACACCGUGUUUCUUUUGGAGGUUCAGAAACUGAUGUGCAAAUACCCAAUCCCCUUUUGUAUUAACCUCACUAAGGUCAGUAAGCAUUUUGCUUUAAACAGCAAUGCUCCAAAAUGGGGGAGUUGAAAGUCUGGUUUGCUUAUCUCUUUUAGAACUUGAGGAUCCCUAUUACCUUGUGAAAAAACAGAAUGUAAAUCCAUCUUAUCAGUAGCUAUUGCACCCUCUGAAGUAGUGUGGUUAGUGUUCAUUUAUAUUCUGUCCCCAUUUUCCACCAAAUUCAAACACAGUCUCCUAAAUUCACAUACGCAUGCUAGUUUCCAGUAUUUGCAAUAAUUUUCUUUUUCUUCUAAGGACUUAUUUUUUCUUCUGCACAGAAAACUUUGCAGAGCCACCUCAGUGAAUGUGGGGGACGAAGUGCUGAGGUCCUGCUCCCUGUGGGGUCAACCAUCACCAACAUCCUCUUUGGUGCCAAACAAAAGGAGGAAUCGCAGGAUGAGAAUUUUGGCAAGAUGGAGAGCAGAUCUCUGGAAGGGUGCAAAUGACACUGCAAGACUAGAAGAUCUGAGCCCUAUGAAGCUGAGCAAGUGUAACCGCAAUGCCUCACUGGGGCUGUUUGGCUCUGGCCUAAGAGUUGGAAGAGCUGUAUCUUUGUUUUGAAGAGAAAAAACAAGCUUUGGAAAUGAUGCUUUGUGCCCAUGCAGCAAGCUGUGCUGUGGGCUCCCCGCUCUGCAAAGCACUGCAGCCUCCUUCCCCUGGGCCAGGGCAUGAGGCAGAGAGAAAUGAUGCUGUGCCUACCGCUGUAGCAUCACCAGCUCAGACCUGAAGCUGUCCAUAUACCAUAAGAUUCAAGCUUGUCCAAGCACAGAGUUUUGUGUCUCGGUUUCUUCCCCUUGACAAAAAUGGAGGACUGAAGCAGAGAUGGGAUUGUGCUGGAUGCACCACUGACAGGGCUGGAGUGCUGAUCAUACCAUAUUGCAGAAAUGCAAGACGUUCUUGGUUAAUCUGGAAAAGACUCACCGAAUCCAAGCAAAACAGCAAAUGAUUCUGCUGAAAGCAAGGGAAGAGUAAGCUAAGUGUGAGCAGCAAGGUCUGGUUUGGCUAAGUCUUUGACACACAACAAAGAUCUGUGCCCACACCUGGUGCCCUAGGCUGACUAAACUGGUGACAACCACUAAUAACUCUGAUCUGGCUUCUAAUCUCUAAUUAUCUAAAACUCUAAUCAUGCAAGUCAUGAGAUUCUUUCAGCCACUACAUUGUCAAGCCCAGUGUUUCUCAUUGAACAAGAGCAUUUUGUGAAAAAAAAAAAAGCAUCAAAUCUGAAGAUAAAGUGACAAAAAGACAAGUAAGCCAAUCUUCUAAUAACGUGCUUGGAUGAAUUGCUACUUUAGGCAAGAACUGGUCAGCAUCAGCUUCUUUGGGACUUUGUUUUUGGGGGAAAAGCAAACAGAACAGCCCAACUCCUCCCCACAUCUAAUUUCCUUAUUGAAGAGCAUGAAGUUGGUUCUUAUUUAGCGAAUUAAAGAUAGGAGCUAUUUCUUUCAGUGCUGCCUCAUUUAUUUGCCAUGUGCAAGCAUACUGAUAAUAUAUAUAUAGAAACUUUCUGCUCAAUUGCAAGUUACUGUGGAAGCUGAGGGAGGUAAAUACUCAGCCCCUUCAAGACUUUUGUUGUCUAAAAAUAGCAAUAGAGAAUAGUAAGGUGCGUAGAGUACUACUUUUCCCUAGAAUUCCUUCUUCUUUUACAUCUUUUGAAUGAUGUGGCUGUAAGGCUAAGAACAUAAUCUAUAGAAAAACUGGAACACAUGUAUAGGUAGUGAUGCCAACGUGAAAAAGCCACCUUCUUUUCCCUGCACUUGUUGCUGACACUGCUGUUUCUGAAUGGCACACCAGUAGGCAGGACUUUGCACGCCAUGGAUGUAAUGCUGCCUCUGAGACUCUGAAUGGAGCAGAAGUUCCUGAGGAUCAUUCUUCUCAUGGUAAGACGACACUGUCCUCCUAACUUAACAUGAGCCAACAGUGUGCGCUUGCAUCCUGAAAGGCCAACUGUAUCCUGGGCUGCAUCAAAAGAGGGGUGCCCAGCAGGGCAAGGGAAGUGAUGGUCCCCCUGUACCCUCAUGAGGUCCCAUCUGGAGUACUGUGUCCAGACCUGGGGCCCUUGGCACAAGAAAUACAUGGAGCUGCUGGAGCAGAUCCAGGGGAGGGUCACAAAGAUGAUCAGAGAGCCAAAGCACCUUUUCUAUGAAGAAGGGCUGAGGGAGUUGGACUUGUUCAGACUGGAGAAGAGAAGGCUCUGGGGAGACCUCAUUAUGGCUUUCCACUACUUGAAGGGAAUUUAUAGUCAGGAGGGAAAUUGACUUUUUCCACAGGCUGAUAGUGAUAGAACAAAGGUGAAUGGCUUUAAACUAAAAGAGGGGAGACUUAGAUUAGAUAAUAGAAAUAAAAUUUUGCUCAGAGGGUGGUGUGGUCCUGGCACAGGCUGCCUAGAGAAGCUGUAGAUACCCCAUCCCUGGAGUCAUUUAAGGCCAGAUUGAAUGGAGACCUGGGAAGUGUGAUAUAGUGGGUGGCAGUGGCCCAUGGCAGUGGGUUGGAACUAGAGGGUUUACAUGGACACUCCCAACUCCAAGCCAUUGUAUGUUUUUAUGAUUCUGAGUGCGUGGACAUGGCUGCAUGACCUUGGUGCACAGCAGCCCACUGCUGAGGGACAGACAGC